rnacentral:lncRNA from 1 species
GGCAUGGAGGAGGACAGCAUGAGUGAAGACUGUGUUGUAAUAUCGUCAGACAGUGAUGACUCGAGGGAGUUUGAGCCACCUCUCACGCCAUCAGCCCCAUUGACUCCAGAUCCAGACUGUCAGGACUGGUCAGAUCUACUAAAGAUGGAGGAAUCAGAGGAGAUUCAGUAUCCAUAUAAUCAACAAAACACCUGUGAAAUGAGUGCCUCGAUGGAGCUGAAAACAGACGACCCAGAGAGCCUACAGCCAUCAUCACCUUUUGGACUUGCAGUGUUGGAGCCCAACAUCGAUAUGGAGAUGGAGAUCAGGGAAUGGACCGUAAAUUCUCAGCAGAACUUGGUAAACGUACGGCCGCUGACUCCCACUGGCUGCCUGAUGGACAGUGACCAGGACAUUGUAAUAAAAGGCCUGCCAACGUCUCCCCCUGUGGAAGAAAUGGAACGACCACUGACGCCUGGAAAAAGAUUUUCUACUGAACUGAAAAGUGAGGAAUCAGAUGAAGCCAAUGAAGUCCUCACACUGUUUUCAGCAAGCAGACAGGUUGAAAUGUCUUCCUGUAAUCUUCCAAAGGUCUCAGAUCCUUCAUGUGAGGAGAGGCCGAGAACUCCUGGCAGAUGGGAAAGAGAUUUUUGGACUAAUUAUCAUUGUGUGAAAGCGCCUGCAAUGCCUUGGAGGGAGAUGACACCAUCAGAUACCAGCCCUCCUUUUGUUGAACAUUCAUCCUGCAAUCCGUACAUCACUGCCCCAAAAACUCCUGGAAGAGACAUUGAGUUACCUCAACAAGCUGUCUUUGACAUGAGGAAAAGGCCAAAUCUGAACUCCACACCGCCUUGGUUACUUAACAUUCAGGGAAAUUGUCCUCUCACAGUGGCAUCUCCAUCUCUCCUCUCUGAGUCUUCAUCUGAUUCCACCGAUGGGUGUAGCGUACAGAUCUGCUCAGGCGUGAGAUCAAAGCCUUUGCAAGGGCUUGAGAAUAUGCCAGGUCUUUUGAAUAAGGAGAAAUACUUAAGGUAUAAACAAUGGCGAAGGAAAAAAAGAAGAGUUUGGCAUCGACACAGAUCACUGAAAAGAAUCACUGGAUCAAUCUCCAUAAGUAGUCGCCAUUUCAGAGACAGGUCACAAUGCCAUGAGAAUCGAAUCCUCCAUGGUGUUUGGAAGGAUGGCCUGGAUGAAGAAGAUGCACGACUUUUACAAUGUUCUCACAAGAGACUUCAAGAGAGGGACAAUGGGCGUGGUUGGCUCAGUGACAUCGUGUGGAUACCUCAUCCUCAUAUCCUUUUGGAAAUAUUUCAAUUUAUUUGAUUUAAAAUUGUUUGGGUUACUUUAUGCAUACCAAUAUUUGUGUUUGAAUUUGCUGUGUAGUGAACCUAACCUGUCUCAGAAGAGUGU